AGUCAUCCUAGUCCACCAUGCGUUCCCUUAUUCAACUGGAUGACCGCAGAGACGGGGGAAGGCGGGGUGGUGUUGUGCUGGUGGCCACCGGGAGCUUCAACCUUCCCACCUACAUGCACAGGCAUGUUUGAGCUUGCGAAGGAUGAGUUGCAGCAGCGAGGGUAGUCGGUGCUGGGAUGUUACUGCCUUAAUGGAUACAUGUCCCUGGUGAACCGAUGCUAACAAGAAGAAGGCAAUGCAGAAAGGUCAUCAGCGUACCUUGACCAUUCUCUCAAGAGUUAAGAAUUCUUCUGUGCAAGGACGGCUUAGCUGAUCAAGGAAGUGUCAAGGUAAUGCUGCUAUGUGGUUCUGACCUGCUCGAGUCAUUCAGCAAGCCAGGGGUUUGGAUUCCAGAUCAGUCAAAGGAAGAAGUCGAACCUAAAGAAGUCCUCGGAAGAAUCACAGCUGCGUGUGCCCGGCUGGUUCAGGGGAC